rnacentral:rRNA from 1 species
ACGCACGCUGGCGGCGUGCUUAACACAUGCCAGUCGAACGGAAAGGCCCUGCUUUUGUGGGGUGCUCGAGUGGCGAACGGGUGAGUAACACGUGAGUAACCUGCCCUUGACUUUGGGAUAACUUCAGGAAACUGGGGCUAAUACCGGAUAGGAGCUCCUGCUGCAUGGUGGGGGUUGGAAAGUUUCGGCGGUUGGGGAUGGACUCGCGGCUUAUCAGCUUGUUGGUGGGGUAGUGGCUUACCAAGGCUUUGACGGGUAGCCGGCCUGAGAGGGUGACCGGCCACAUUGGGACUGAGAUAAGGCCCAGACUCCUACGGGAGGCAGCAGUGGGGAAUAUUGCACAAUGGGCGGAAGCCUGAUGCAGCAACGCCGCGUGCGGGAUGACGGCCUUCGGGUUGUAAACCGCUUUCGCCUGUGACGAAGCGUGAGUGACGGUAAUGGGUAAAGAAGCACCGGCUAACUACGUG